CCUGCGGAGGGAUCAUUACCGAGUUUACAACUCCCAAACCCCUGUGAACAUACCAAUUGUUGCCUCGGCGGAUCAGCCCGCUCCCGGUAAAACGGGACGGCCCGCCAGAGGACCCCUAAACUCUGUUUCUAUAUGUAACUUCUGAGUAAAACCAUAAAUAAAUCAAAACUUUCAACAACGGAUCUCUUGGUUCUGGCAUCGAUGAAGAACGCAGCAAAAUGCGAUAAGUAAUGUGAAUUGCAGAAUUCAGUGAAUCAUCGAAUCUUUGAACGCACAUUGCGCCCGCCAGUAUUCUGGCGGGCAUGCCUGUUCGAGCGUCAUUUCAACCCUCAAGCCCAGCUUGGUGUUGGGACUCGCGAGUCAAAUCGCGUUCCCCAAAUUGAUUGGCGGUCACGUCGAGCUUCCAUAGCGUAGUAGUAAAACCCUCGUUACUGGUAAUCGUCGCGGCCACGCCGUUAAACCCCAACUUCUGAAUGU
rnacentral:sRNA from 1 species